rnacentral:tmRNA from 1 species
UCGCAAGGCUUGCCGGUUCCCACGCGAUGGCCGAACUCACCGAACCGGCUACGCACGUAGGCUUCCGGCGGCAGGCUUUCUCGGACGCGGGUUCGACUCCCGCCGCCUCCACCA